rnacentral:rRNA from 1 species
UACAGAGGAUGCAAGCGUUUAUCCGGAAUGAUUGGGCGUAAAGCGUCUGUAGGUGGCUUUUUUAAGUCCGCCGUCAAAAUCCCCAGGGCUCAACUCUGGACAGGCGGUGGAAACUACCAAGCUGGAGUACGGUAGGGGCAGAGGGAAUUUCCGGUGGAGCGGUGAAAUGCGUAGAUAUCGGAAGGAACAUCAGUGGCGAAAAGCGGCUUCCUGGACCAGUACCGACGUCAGGCACGAAAAGCGUGGGGGAGCAAACAGG